UACGGAGGGGCUAGCGUUGUUCGGAAUUACUGGGCGUAAAGCGCACGUAGGCGGACAUUUAAGUCAGGGUGAAAUCCAGAGCUCAACUCUGGAACUGCCUUUGAUACUGGGUGUCUUGAGUAUGGAAGAGGUGAGUGGAAUUCCGAGUGAUAGAGGUGAAAUUCGUAGAUAUUCGGAGGAACACCAGUGGCGAAGGCGACUUCUGGGCUGUAACUGACGCUGAGGCGCGAAAGCGUGGGGAGCGAACAGG
rnacentral:rRNA from 1 species